rnacentral:rRNA from 1 species
AUGUACAUUCCUACAACAUAGUGUUAAUGCACCAUAUCCUAUUAGAACUUUGUAGUUAAGAGUAGUCAGGCUAGAGUAUAAGUGAUGUGAUGGGUGAUCACCCAGGUAGUCCUAGUGUUUUACAUG